rnacentral:lncRNA from 1 species
AUCAGCUGCCAGCAUGGCUAGAAUAAAAGCAGACAGAAGAACAUGAAAGGGUCUGAUUUGCUGAGUGUUCUGGUCUUCAUCUUUCUCCUGUGCUGUUUGCUUCCUGCCCUAGAACAUCAGACCCCAAGUUCUUCAGCUUUUGGACUCUUGGACUUACACCAGCGGUUUGCCAGGGGCUCUCAGGCCUUUGGCCAGAGACUAAAGGCUGCACUGUCAGCUUCCUUACUUUUGAGGUUUUGAGACUGGGACUGAUCCACCACUGGCUUCCUCGCUCCUCAACUUGCAGACGACAUAUCGUGGGAGUUUACCUCUUGAUCAAUUCGUAAGGACCACAUUGGAUGCAGCAGAUAUAAAUGACCAGACACACAUCAAGUACACCUCAGGUAUGUAGAAACCUAAAGCUGAACACACACACACACACACACACACAAUCACACACAUACAUAUGUAAUCAUGCUCCUAUUGGGCAAUCCCUCAUCCC